GACGAACGCUGGCGGCGUGCUUAACACAUGCAAGUCGAACGGAAAGGCCCUGCUUUUGUGGGGUGCUCGAGUGGCGAACGGGUGAGUAACACGUGAGUAACCUGCCCUUGACUUUGGGAUAACUUCAGGAAACUGGGGCUAAUACCGGAUAGGAGCUCCUGCUUCAUGGUGGGGGUUGGAAAGUUUCGGCGGUUGGGGAUGGACUCGCGGCUUAUCAGCUUGUUGGUGGGGUAGUGGCUUACCAAGGCUUUGACGGGUAGCCGGCCUGAGAGGGUGACCGGCCACAUUGGGACUGAGAUACGGCCCAGACUCAGACGGGAGGAAGCAGUGGGGAAUAUUGCACAAUGGGCGGAAGCCUGAUGCAGCAACGCCGCGUGCGGGAUGACGGCCUUCGGGUUGUAAACCGCUUUCGCCUGUGACGAAGCGUGAGUGACGGUAAUGGGUAAAGAAGCACCGGCUAACUACGUG
rnacentral:rRNA from 1 species